GUUAAUUUUAAAAAUUAAAAAAUUAUUUCCAUUAUUAAAUUACAUCAAAUUGAAAUAAAACCAAAAAAUAAACCCUCAAUAUGUUUUAAUUUUUAUUGAGCCACAAAUCAAAACCACUUGUUCCAACCGCGACUAGAUCUAACCUCGAGCUCGGCUACUUGACCCUUUCCCUUGCCACUGUAAUUACAACAUUCCGCGUGAAUCCUACACAAAAUGAGAAAUCCAUAUGAGCUCCACCCAAGAUCAACAUUAUCUGGGGCCCGGCACUGCUCAACCCCCAUGAAUGAGAAGUUUCCCAGGUGCCUUUCUUUAUCUAACCGAAAGCAUAAUAAACGUAUAUCUUUCCAAGUUUACGCGUGCGGCUACAGAGGCCAAGGAAAAACAAUAUGGUCAUGAGAACUUAACCCAAUAACAAAAUUCCAUACUGUUUGUUUCCAUAUGAUGAUUUGAAUGCAUGUUACAGAUACGUAUCCCCAACAGUAUACACUGCUAUUGUGUGGAAAUUGCUUGUAUCUAUUUGUAUACAAUCAUCAACUGUAGAACACUAAUCCAAAAUUUCCACGGCUCUUUCUACUACUAGUUGCCUACUACUACCUCUUGAUCCAAUGCUCUUCCCUACAUUUGCCGCAAUUGCAGAAAU
rnacentral:misc_RNA from 1 species